rnacentral:rRNA from 1 species
GGUUUCCCUUUACGAAUUGUAGUUUAAAGAAGUGUUUUCUGUUGGAGUUUCGGUAAAAGUUCUUUGGAAUAGGACAUCAUAGAGGGUGAGAAUCCCGUAUUUGGCCGUUACUUUCCAGCUGUGUGAUACACUUUCAAAGAGUCGGAUUGUUUGGGAAUGCAGUCCAAAAUGGGUGGUAAAUUUCAUCUAAAGCUAAAUAUUGGCGAGAGACCGAUAGCGAACAAGUACCGUGAGGGAAAGAUGAAAAGAACUUUGAAAAGAGAGUUAAACAGUACGUGAAAUUGUCAAAAGGGAAGCGUUUGACACCAGUGUUGUUUAGUUGAAAAUCAAUUAAAUAGUUUUCGAUUUUAAGUAGUAUUGACCUUAUCAGCUUGCUGCUUUCUUUUCGGAAAUUAUUU